CGAAGAAGGUCUUCGGAUCGUAAAGCUCUGUUGUUAGGGAAGAACAAGUACCGUUCAAAUAGGGCGGUACCUUGACGGUACCUAACCAGAAAGCCACGGCUAACUACGUGCCAGCAGCCGCGGUAAUACGUAGGUGGCAAGCGUUAUCCGGAAUUAUUGGGCGUAAAGCGCGCGCAGGCGGUCCUUUAAGUCUGAUGUGAAAGCCCACGGCUCAACCGUGGAGGGUCAUUGGAAACUGGGGGACUUGAGUGCAGAAGAGGAGAGCGGAAUUCCACGUGUAGCGGUGAAAUGCGUAGAGAUGUGGAGGAACACCAGUGGCGAAGGCGGCUCUCUGGUCUGUAACUGACGCUGAGGCGCGAAAGCGUGGGGAGCGAACAGGAUUAGAUACCCUGGUAGUCCACGCCGUAAACGAUGAGUGCUAAGUGUUAGAGGGUUUCCGCCCUUUAGUGCUGCAGCAAACGCAUUAAGCACUCCGCCUGGGGAGUACGGUCGCAAGACUGAAACUCAAAGGAAUUGACGGGGGCCCGCACAAGCGGUGGAGCAUGUGGUUUAAUUCGAAGCAACGCGAAGAACCUUACCAGGUCUUGACAUCCCUAGGCCAUCUUCUAGAGAUAGAGCUUUCCCUUCGGGGACAUAAGGUGACAGGUGGUGCAUGGUUGUCGUCAGCUCGUGUCGUGAGAUGUUGGGUUAAGUCCCGCAACGAGCGCAACCCUUGAUCUUAGUUGCCAGCAUUCAGUUGGGCACUCUAAGGUGACUGCCGGUGACAAACCGGAGGAAGGUGGGGAUGACGUCAAAUCAUCAUGCCCCUUAUGACCUGGGC
rnacentral:rRNA from 1 species